rnacentral:tRNA from 1 species
GUUUUAGUAGCUUAAAUUUUAGAGCGUUACCCUGAAGAGGUAUAGGUAUAAAUAUUUUCUGAAAUA